rnacentral:rRNA from 1 species
UACGUAGGUGACCAGCGUUGUCCGGAUUUACUGGGCGUAAAGAGCGCGCAGGCGGUCGUUCAAGUCGAGUGUGAAAGCCCCCGGCUCAACUGGGGAGGGUCAUUCGAUACUGAUCGACUUGAAGGCAGGAGAGGGAAGCGGAAUUCCCGGUGUAGUGGUGAAAUGCGUAGAUAUCGUUUGGAACGCCAAUGGUGAAAACAGGUUGCUGGGGAUGUGCUGACGCUGAGACACGAAAGCCAGGGGAGCAAACGGG